rnacentral:lncRNA from 1 species
CAGUUGAAAUGGGUCACUCUCGUAACUAUUAUUUUUGACGGUGUAACUGCAAAAACGCGAAUCUGGUUUGCAGUGUUCCAAAAUCUCCGCUAUCCCGUUUUAUAAUAGGUAUUUCUUUAAAGGAGACACGUUGAAAUCAUUAGUCAAAUGGACACCCAUCACUAUCGCUUUCCCUCCAGACCGAGUACCGACCAAGGUGCGACUACAUAUGGUGAGUGAGAAUUCGUGUAUGCUCUUUGGCCUAUCCAUUGAUUUGAAGGAGCUCUGCUGACGGUUCAAUUUCCUGAGCUUCCAAAUCAAAUGAUUCGUCGGGCAUACUCCAGCAGUCCAGCUCCUUGCAAUUCUGUUGAAUGCUUUUACAGUCCCUGCUGUAAGCUAUUUUUUUAAGUACUUUAUAAUUAUUUAUCUCUCUCUCUCUCUCGCUCGCCCUUGCACCUAAGAACAUUGAUCGCCAGGGUCGGAUUAAGAAUUGUUGGCCCAUCCCCUUAGGCGCACAAUGUAGUACUGGCCCCCUUAAAAAAGUACUAUAUCUGGAGAAAUUUGGCAACAUUUGAAUGUUCAAACGGCCUCUCUUCCUUAGCAUGCCUGUAAAGUUAUUAAUAAUUCUUCCAAUGUAAGUGAUAGGUGCUCAAGAUACGUAGAAACAUUUAGAAUACAGCCGAUUGGUGGAUGCAACUUAAUUAACUUCUGUGUAGGAUUGGGUGGUAUUGCCAAAUUUGAAGGCGGACUAUAGAAGCUCAGUACUUCGUUACCAAGCGAUGUGGAUGCCGCGCCGGCGCCGCUCCAACCAACACGCUGUACUUAUCGCCUUCAUCCUGAUUCUGCCAUGAGGAGGAUUUGUAGUUAAGGAAUGAAAACUACGCUGCUUUGCUGACGAAAAACGCUGUACGAAGCGGCUGUUGCCAAAAUUCCUUUGAUAAAACACAGAUUUUCUGGGAAAUUUGUUUAUGUUGUUUCCAACUUGAUAGAAAUUUGUUCGCAAUUUGAGCAAAAUAAUCUGAAACUUUCAUAAGUAGAAAAAUAUUCAAAAUAUUUCAAAUAUUCUGUCUCAGCUAUUUCAGGUGAAGGAGGUCAACACAACCCCGCUUGAACUUCUUACCGUUUCCACUCGGUGGUUGUCAGAGUAAAGAGGUUGUGGAACCUACUGUCGCCUGGGCUGGCUCAUGCAAGUCUGGAGACGAACCUGUUUAAGUCUAGGUUCAAGGACUACGUUUUGAAAUACUAUGUUCCCUAUUAGUUAU